GGCGGAGCCAGAGAGCAGCGAUUGGUCAGACCAUAGAUACAUAGAGAAGACAGCGCGCUAGCAUGUCUAGUCUUCUAUGUAUGGUAGCAUCUCUGGCUGCUGUUGACCUUGUUUGUGGAGUAAAGCAUGGUGGAAGCUGAAUUAGUGAGGAUGACUCCUGCUCCUGUCAUCUCUAAGCUCCUCCCACAUCUUUACCUGCACAUGAGGAAAAUCACUCCUGUAGAAUGCAGUGGUUCAUCAGAACCUCUGGGGAUGUCCUGUGGAUUCUGUGGAUCCUGUGGGUUGCAGGGUGGGUCCUACCUAGACCAGGCUGAUCCUGGACCAUCCCACAGAUGCUCAAUCAGAUGUGGAUGUGGGGAGUGUGGAACCCAGAUGUUCAGAGGGAGAUGAUGCCACAUCUGGUCCAGCUGAUGGAAGGUCUUGAAGUUCUCUGACUGGCCUGGACUGAAGAUGGUCGUCUCACUGGAUUUAAGGUUCAGAUGCUCAGUAACAAACUCCACCAAUGUGCCAACAGGGAAGCUUUAGGUUUAUUAAAUGUUGCUAUGAAGGUAUCACUGUUUUUCUUUGUGAAUGCAAUGUGCUCCAACUGAAACUUGAAUUAGAACUUAGAAGUAAAUCAUUUCAUCUGAAAGGAUUUAGUUGCAUUAAUAACCUCAUAACAUUCUAAUUUUUAUUCCAGUCUUGGUUGGAAAUAGAAUCUCUGUAUUGAUUCAGGUAAAAACUGAACUUAACAGCAUGUUGGAGCAAAACAACCAGAUGAAAACUGUGAUGGUGUUGGAUUGUCAGACCGUAAUGUUGCAGCUCAAAGCAGCUUUUCUAGCUCAGUUCAUUCUGACAUUCAGCUAUGAAUCAACACAGCAGAUGGUGAUCCAUGCUGUGGAAGUCUCACAUCUCCUGAUUUAAUGGAGCUGCUUUGCACUUUUUACACUGUUUAUUCACCAACACUUUAUUUAAUAAAAGUCCCAUCUAGUUUUUAUGAGGAAUGUGAUGUUUUAAUUUCUCUGUGAAUAACUGCAGUCUAAUGCAACAGCUGGAAUUGUAACAUCUGUCCUGAUAUUGAUCAUGAAGUAUUGAUCAGAAUACUUAUGGUUAGCAGUCAUCCCUGAAGUUUUACAUUGAAAUCUUUACUUGUGUUGUGAACUUUGGUAAGAAGCAGAAACGUUAGCGUUGCCAUGGAUACAGGAGUGUUAAAUUCUGUCCAUGUUUCCAUUUUGGGAAAUUCAGUCCAGUUCCAGAAUGUGGAGGAAUUUAGUCUCAUAAUCACAGACAACAAAUAUUAUCUGAAAGUCGAGUUAUUGUUGUUUAUCAGCACAAUACAAAAAGAUUAAUGUUAGAAAUAUUCCAGUUAAGACUCUAGAAUAUCAUGAUUUAUGUAAAAUUUACCUCAAUAAUAUGAAUGUUCAGGUUAAGAUUGUACAGUGAUAUUUAUUAUGUAAGUUUAGCUGAUUAAAGUUUGACUCUGCACUAAAAUAUCAUUUAAAUUUACAUCAUUAUUAUAAUAUUUAGGGUCAGACCCUACAGUAUUGAGAUUAAGAAAUUAAAUAUUCUACAAAAUGUAAAUACACUGAACUCAUUUGGAUAUAUUUAAGUGAGACUUUACAAUAUUAUUUGACACAAAUCUAUCUAAAUCAAAAUUUUAAUAAUUUUUACUCCAACCUUUUACUGGACUGAUUUAAAUAUUAAAAUCACGCCUUUCUAAUCCUCUGCUGUACGUUCAAACCUGAGGCCUUAAAUAGAAACACACAAGUAUCUGUUUGAAGGAACUUCUGCAGAGUCCUGGUUCCAGAACAUGAUGAUAGAAUUAUAGACAAACUUUAACAAAAGCUGCCUGAGAGUUUACAGGUUUUUAUGUUAAAUUUCUUCAGUAAUUUAAUGAGCGUUAUCAGCAAUAAUCAAGGGUUCAUUUGAUGAACUUCAUUUCCUAAAACAUCCGGAAUUGGAGCUCAUAUCUUUGUCAGCUGUAAAGUUUCUGCUCCUUCAAAGUUCACAACACAAUGAAUGAAUUCCUAAAACACUCUCAAUGCUGGAGAACGUUUGUGAUGCUGAAGCAGUGAUCAGUUUUUCUGUUUCUUCUCUGGAGAUGCACAAUGAGGGACGUCUGCAGAGACUGAGAAAGAGUCUCACCACAUCCUGACAUGAGGAAAAAGACUUUAUUGAAGACUACAAUGAGAAAAACUAUCAGACAGCAGACGGCUGCAUUCAAGAGAAGAAGACCAUCAAACAUCCACGUCAGCUGAUGGAGGUCCAAGAGUCUCACCAAACAAACAACCUACAGAGUGAAGACCUCAAAUCUGAUUGGAUGGCCUCCUAUUCAGCCACAUGCUACAGGAGGAGCCCUAUGAGGACGAGCCGGUCCACCUGAUGGAGGCCAGUCGCUGUGGUUCAAAGCCAACACCAACUACGUGGACUUCUACUGGACCACAUGGAGGCCUUCAAACCGGACCAACAAGUUCAGCGACUCCCCGACUCGUGGGUCUGAGGACGCCGCCGAGCCUCGGUCCAGCCGGCCGCCUGUCUGUGGGUGUUUGAGUGCUGAGAGGUUUGUGGAUGCAUGUGAACGUAUCUGUGUUGAAACAGCAGCUUUUGACUCAGUAACACCAGGAAAAACCAAGAG
ensembl:lncRNA